rnacentral:tRNA from 1 species
GGAGUCGUAGCUUAGCCUGGUUUAAAGCGUCUGCCUGUCACGCAGAAGAUCGAGGGUUCAAAUCCCUUCGACUCCGCCA